CCUACGGGGGGCUGCAGUGGGGAAUAUUGCGCAAUGGGCGAAAGCCUGACGCAGCAACGCCGCGUGCGGGAUGACGGCCUUCGGGUUGUAAACCGCUUUCAGCAGGGACGAAGCAACACGUGACGGUACCUGCAGAAGAAGCACCGGCUAACUACGUGCCAGCAGCCGCGGUGAUACGUAGGGUGCGAGCGUUGUCCGGAAUUAUUGGGCGUAAAGAGCUUGUAGGCGGUCUGUUGCGUCGGAAGUGAAAACUCAGGGCUUAACCCUGAGCCUGCUUUCGAUACGGGCAGACUUGAGGAAGGUAGGGGAGAACGGAAUUCCUGGUGGAGCGGUGGAAUGCGCAGAUAUCAGGAGGAACACCAGUGGCGAAGGCGGUUCUCUGGACCUUUCCUGACGCUGAGAAGCGAAAGCGUGGGGAGCAAACAGGCUUAGAUACCCCGGUAGUC
rnacentral:rRNA from 1 species